CAGUGUUACAGCCCUUUUAGAAUUUGUCUAGCAGGUUUUCUGGCUUUCCAGAAAACCUCC
ensembl:snRNA U7 U7 small nuclear RNA